rnacentral:rRNA from 1 species
AACGAACGCUGGCGGCAGGCUUCAUACAUGCAAGUCGAGCGAUUAAAGCUCCUUCGGGAGUGUAUAAAGCGGCGAACGGGUGAGUAACAGGUGGACAACCUGCCUCUUGGUGGGGGACAACGGCCGGAAACGGCCGCUAAUACCGCACGUGGUUACUAGGGCCUCGGCCCCGGUAAAGAAAGGCGCUUCACGGCGCCGCCAAGAGAUGGGUCCGCCCCCCAUUAGCUAGUUGGUGAGAUAACAGCUCACCAAGGCAACGAUGGGUAGCCGAGCUGAGAGGUUGAUCGGCCACACUGGAACUGAGACACGGUCCAGACACCUACGGGUGGCAGCAGUAGGGAAUAUUGCGCAAUGGGCGAAAGCCUGACGCAGCCAUGCCGCGUGAGUGAUGAAGGCCUUCGGGUCGUAAAGCUCUUUUCUGAGGGAAGAAAACCGGUGGAGGAAAUGCCCCCGGCUUGACGGUACCUCAGGAAUAAGGAACGGCUAACUCCGUGCCAGCAGCCGCGGUAAUACGGAGGUUCCAAGCGUUGUUCGGAUUUACUGGGCGUAAAGGGAGCGCAGGCGGAUCGGUCAGUGGAAAGUGGAAGCCCGGGGCUUAACCUCGGAAGUGCUUUCCAUACUGCCGGUCUUGAGUUCGUGAGAGGAAAGCGGAAUUCAGGGUGUAGCGGUGAAUGCUUAGAUAUCCUGAGGAACACCAAUGGCGAAAGCAGCUUUCUGGCACGAUACUGACGCUGAGGCUCGAAAGCGUGGGUAGCGAACGGGAUUAGAUACCCCGGUAGUCCACGCCGUAAACGUUGUCAACUAGGUGCAGGAGGUAUCGACCCCCCCUGUGCCGCAGCUAACGCACUAAGUUGACCGCCUGGGGAGUACGCGCGCAAGCGUGAAACUCAAAGGAAUUGACGG